rnacentral:rRNA from 2 species
UGUGGCACGCGGCAUAGGUAAAUCCGUGUUGUUGUUGUGUGAGGCGUGAUGCGUAGCCCGUGUGGGUGAUGCUGGUGAUCCUGUACUGUCGAGAAAAGCCUCUAGCGAGUGUGCAUGCGGCCCGUACCCUAAACCGACACUGGUGGUUUGGUAGAGUAUACUAAGGCGUUCGGGUGAACUGUGGUUAAGGAAUUCGGCAAAUUGUCCCCGUAACUUCGGGAGAAGGGGACCCCCGUGUGGUGUGGCAUCUUUGCGGUGUUGUGCUGUGUGGGGGCGCAGAGGAUAGAGGGAAGCGACUGUUUAUUAAAAACACAGGUCCGUGCGAAGACGUGAAGUUGAUGUAUACGGACUGACGCCUGCCCGGUGCUGGAAGGUUAAGAGGACCUGUUAGAUCAUUUUGGUGGUCGAAGCGGAGAAUUUAAGCCCCAGUAAACGGCGGUGGUAACUAUAACCAUCCUAAGGUAGCGAAAUUCCUUGUCGGGUAAGUUCCGACCUGCACGAAUGGCGUAACGACUUCCCUGCUGUCUCAACCACAGGCCCGGUGAAAUUGCAGUACGAGUAAAGAUGCUCGUUACGCGCGGCAGGACGAAAAGACCCCGGGACCUUUACUAUAGCUUGGUAUUGUUGUUUGGUUCGGUUUGUGUAGGAUAGGUGGGAGACUGUGAAGUAUGCACGCUAGUGUGUGUGGAGUCGUUGGUGAAAUACCACUCUGGUCGGAUUGAGCAUCUUAACCUUGGCCCAUGAUCUGGGUUGGGGACAGUGCCUGGUGGGUAGUUUAACUGGGGCGGUUGCCUCCUAAAUGGUAACGGAGGCGCCCAAAGGUUCCCUCAGCUUGGUUGGUAAUCAGGUGUUGAGUGUAAGUGUAUAAGGGAGCUUGACUGUGAGAGUGACGGCUCGAGCAGGGACGAAAGUCGGGACUAGUGAUCCGGCAUCUACUUGUGGUUGUGGUGUCGCUCAACGGAUAAAAGGUACCCCGGGGAUAACAGGCUGAUCUUCCCCAAGAGUCCAUAUCGACGGGAUGGUUUGGCACCUCGAUGUCGGCUCGUCGCAUCCUGGGGCUGGAGUAGGUCCCAAGGGUUGGGCUGUUCGCCCAUUAAAGCGGCACGCGAGCUGGGUUUAGAACGUCGUGAGACAGUUCGGUCUCUAUCCGCCGCGCGCGUGGAAACUUGAAGAAGGCUGACCCUAGUACGAGAGGACCGGGUUGGACGUACCUCUGGUGUGCCAGUUAUCUUGCCAUGGGUAGGGCUGGUUGGCU